GUCGCUCGGUAUCCGCACCACCCAUAGAAACCGCUGUCCGCUAAGCUCCAGCCCGUGCGCCAGCUCCCCCAUCUGCUCCGUCGACAGCGUGCCAGCGCUACCAAAUGAUACAAAUAACACUGACCGGCUCGGCUGAGUGUCCAACCAAUUGAGACAGUCGGACUCACCGACGCUAGCCGACUGUAUCAGCGGUCCGACCGGGUAGAUCGCCGGCCAGCCGGGCUCAGGUUCAGCCUUAAAGAAGUGGUCCUUCGCCCAUGGUUCGAUAUCCACGAAAGUAUUGACUAGUAUGGCCUCAGCCUCACGAUAGCGAGCACCGUGCUGCACCACCCAUUUGUAGCAUUCAUUAGAGUUGUCUUGUAGCGGGUGGAGCAGAUCGGGGCCCGGGAUCGGGACGCAGCCCGGAAGCCUCACCGGCUCCGGUAACUGGCCGAAUUGGAUUUUCGGAUCUUUGGCGGAAUCGAGUACCGGGGCUUGGAGCAUGAGUGAAGUCAUCAUGAAAUUGGACGGGAGGAAGAGGUAGGGCGGGACGCCGGCGUCGCGGGCGGCGUCGAAGGUGUCGACGGAGAAGAGGUCGGCCAUGAAGGCAACGAGAUUGGAGGUGGAUUUGAGGGAGAUGAGGACGGAGCGGACGGCGGGGACGGAGCGGAGGGUGGCGACGGAGAUGACGGUCUCGAUGCGGGCGUCGGCGGGGAGGUCGGCGAGGGAGACGGCGGGGAGGGGGAUGGAGGUGAUAGAGGGGGGG
rnacentral:misc_RNA from 1 species